AAGUCGUAACAAGGUUUCCGUAGGUGAACCUGCGGAAGGAUCAUUAUUGAAACUUCAUCCGGGGCGCCGCGGCCCUCAGCACCGGUGGAAACGCCGUGUUGCGGGGGCCGCGCGUGCACUCGUCCAAACCAAACCCCUGUGAACCUUACGGGAUGGCCUGGGUUAGCGCCCGGUGCCGUUCCGCUUUAUACAAACACUUAUCAAAGAAUGAACUGAAGGCGGUCUGACCGCUGGAUAACAAACUGAAACAACUUUCAACAACGGAUCUCUUGGCUCUC
rnacentral:misc_RNA from 1 species